rnacentral:rRNA from 1 species
UCGAUUCCCUUAGUAGCGGCGAGCGAAACGGGAAGAGCCCAAACCAACAAGCUUGCUUGUUGGGGUUGUAGGACACUCUAUACGGAGUUACAAAGGACGACAUUAGACGAAUCAUCUGGAAAGAUGAAUCAAAGAAGGUAAUAAUCCUGUAGUCGAAAAUGUUGUCUCUCUUGAGUGGAUCCUGAGUACGACGGAGCACGUGAAAUUCCGUCGGAAUCUGGGAGGACCAUCUCCUAAGGCUAAAUACUCUCUAGUGACCGAUAGUGAACCAGUACCGUGAGGGAAAGGUGAAAAGCACCCCGGAAGGGGAGUGAAAUAGAACCUGAAACCG